rnacentral:rRNA from 1 species
UACGGAAGGCAGCAGGGGGGAAUAUUGCACAAUGGGCGCAAGCCUGAUGCAGCCAUGCCGCGUGUAUGAAGAAGGCCUUCGGGUUGUAAAGUACUUUCAGUCGUGAGGAAGGUGUUAAGGUUAAUAACCUUAGCAAUUGACGUUAGCGACAGAAGAAGCACCGGCUAACUCCGUGCCAGCAGCCGCGGUAAUACGGAGGGUGCGAGCGUUAAUCGGAAUUACUGGGCGUAAAGGGCACGCAGGCGGUUAAUUAAGUUGGAUGUGAAAUCCCCGGGCUUAACCUGGGAAUGGCAUUCAAGACUGGUUAGCUAGAGUCUUGUAGAGGGGGUUAGAAGUUCCAUGUGUAGCGGUGAAAUGCGUAGAGAUGUGGAGGAAUACCGGUGGCGAAGGCGGCCCCUGGACAAAGACUGACGCUCAUGUGCGAAAGCGUGGGGAGCAAACGAGGGAUUAGAACC